UAGGGAAUCUUCCGCAAUGGACGAAAGUCUGACGGAGCAACGCCGCGUGAGUGAAGAAGGAUUUCGGUUCGUAAAACUCUGUUGUUAGGGAAGAAAAAAUGUAUAGUAACUAUAUACAAAAGAGACGGUACCUAACCAGAAAGCCACGGCUAACUACGUGCCAGCAGCCGCGGUAAUACGUAGGUGGCAAGCGUUGUCCGGAAUUAUUGGGCGUAAAGCGCGCGCAGGUGGUUUAGAAAGUCUGAUGUGAAAGCCCACGGCUCAACCGUGGAGGGUCAUUGGAAACUAAUAAACUUGAGUGCAGGAGAGAAAAGUGGAAUUCCUAGUGUAGCGGUGAAAUGCGUAGAGAUUAGGAGGAACAACGGUGGCGACAGCGGCUUUUUGGCCUGCAACUGACACUGAGGCGCGAAAGCGUGGGGAGCAAACAGG
rnacentral:rRNA from 1 species